GGAGAUGGAACAAGGAGGAGAAAUCAUCCAAAGUGAUUAGCUUCAUAUCUAAAACCUUAAGAACAGAGAACAGCUCCAGAUAGAUAAAUUUAACUUCUUCAACGAGUCUUUUUCUUUUCUUUUUCUCGCCUUUAUUGCCAGACAUGCAAAUUGAAUUUCGAACAUGUUUUGCUGCAGCAGCAGCUUGCUUUGUCAAAACAAUACCCUUCUUCGAAGCAUGCAACAGCCUAGCUUUUUGAUUUGGUGAUAUCUAUAAAAUUAUUUUUGUUUUCAAUUCUGAGAGCGUAUUUUUUUUGAAGUUUUCUUUUGAUCUUGUAUAAGUUGUUGAAGUUUGUGUUUCUUCCGUGUUGAGGUUUUUGUGUUUCUGUUACAGGGACUUAGAUCUUUGGCUAAGUGCAAAUUAUGGAAUUAGAUACCAUCUUUGAAUCUUUGAUAUAGCCCAAGCACGUCUCAGUGUCGUGUGUCAGAUACUGACGCUUCCUACUAUGGCUGCACUUUAAUUUGGUCAUCACUACCAAGACUUUUACGCUUUAGUCUUUUGUUUGAUUUGAUACACAACAUCUACUUUUGUCGGAUUCUUUGAGCUGUGUGAGUUUUGCAGGGAGAUGCAUUUAUCCCGUUUCGCAGAAAGCUGAGAAAUAUGGUGGAUAUCCAGAAUGCCUUGAUACAACAACCAGAACGGAAAAUAACUCCAGAUAGUUAAAUCAAUUUUUUAUGGGUCAUUCUUUACCAUUUUUAUUUCCGGCCUUUGAUUGCAAGGCAUACAAAUUGAUUUUUGAACGUGUUUUUCUGCAGCGUUGUUGUGUCCAACUAAUAACCUUCAUCAGAGCAUGGAGCUUAGCAUUUCAAUUUUUGAUUUGGUGAUCUCCAUUAAAUUCUUUUUAUAUUGAUUAUAUUUUUUGGUUCUGAAACCAUAUCUUCUUUGAUUUGGUGUUUACUCUCUGGUGUUGCAGGAUAGUUAAUAUGUUAACAGACGAUUUCUUCUAGUUCUAUUUUCCUCUUGUUUGAUCUUCAUGGCUGUUGAUUUUUUGCUUUCUUGAUUCUCUUAG
rnacentral:lncRNA from 1 species